UGGGUACCAAGGCUCAUCAGCACACACACACUAUUAUCACAGUUCUAAGACAUCUGACAUUGACUAAGACAUCAUCAAUCUAAUAACAGCAUUUUAGGAAU